GAUGAACGCUAACGGCAGGCUUAACACAUGCAAGUCGAGGGGUAUAGUUCUUCGGAGCUAGAGACCGGCGCACGGGUGCGUAACGCGUAUGCAAUCUACCUUUUGCAGAGGGAUAGCCCAGAGAAAUUUGGAUUAAUACCUCAUGGUAUGUGAGAAUGGCAUCAUUUUCACAUUAAAGUCACAACGGCAAAAGAUGAGCAUGCGUCCCAUUAGCUAGUUGGUAAGGUAACGGCUUACCAAGGCAACGAUGGGUAGGGGUCCUGAGAGGGAGAACCCCCACACUGGUACUGAGAAACGCACCAGACGCCUACGGGAGGAAGCAGUGAGGAAUAUUGGACAAUGGGCGCAAGCCUGAUCCAGCCAUGCCGCGUGCAGGAUGACGGUCCUAUGGAUUGUAAACUGCUUUUGUACAGGAAGAAACACUGGUUCGUGAACCAGCUUGACGGUACUGUAAGAAUAAGGAUCGGCUAACUCCGUGCCAGCAGCCGCGGUAAAAC
rnacentral:rRNA from 1 species